AGGACGAACGCUGGCGGCGUGCUUAACACAUGCAAGUCGAGCGGUAAGGCCCCUUUGGGGGUACACGAGCGGCGAACGGGUGAGUAACACGUGGGUGACCUGCCCUCCACUCUGGGAUAAGCCUUGGAAACGGGGUCUAAUACCGGAUAUGACCACAUGUCGCAUGGUGUGUGGUGGAAAGCGUUUAGUGGUGGGGGAUGGGCCCGCGGCCUAUCAGCUUGUUGGUGGGGUGAUGGCCUACCAAGGCGACGACGGGUA
rnacentral:rRNA from 1 species